AGAAGGCAUUGCAGAAAGUAAAGUGCAAGUCAAAAAUACAAACGAAAAUAUAGAAAAACACGCACUAAUAGAAACAUUGGAUGUAGAAAACAAAUCGGCAACAGUCAAUGCCAAUAGCCGCCGACACUUCAAAGAUUCACAACCGACAGUGCCCCAACUACAGGAACAAGAAAACGAAGACAAUCUGAACAAUUAUCUUCUACACGGGACCAGUUUGCAGCAAUUGCUGAGUCACAUGUCCAAUCAAUGAUGAUGCUAGCUGAAGCUGCAAAAUUACAGGCAGAAGGGACAAAGCGUCAUGCCGAUGCUAUGGGUCGAUUGGCAGAAGCGAUGGAACGGCAAGCUGAUGCAGCUGUGCAAAACGCUACCAAUGAAAAAGCGAGAAUCGAAGUCAUGUCUCAGCUAGUAAAAGUACUAUCACAGAUUUUACCAACUUACCAAUAAUAGUACAGUAUAGUUUAGUGUAGUGUAGUGUAGUAUAGGACUUCAUCGUAAACAACAAACUAUUGAAC
rnacentral:lncRNA from 1 species